GGCGAAAGCCUGACCCAGCAACGCCGCGUGAGGGAUGAAGUAUUUCAGUAUGUAAACCUCGAAAGCAUGGGAAGAAUAAAUGACGGUACCAUUUAUAAGCUCCGGCUAACUACGUGCCAGCAGCCGCGGUAAUACGUAGGGAGCAAGCGUUGUUCGGAUUUACUGGGCGUAAAGGGCGCGUAGGCGGCGCGGUAAGUCACUUGUGAAAUCUCUGAGCUUAACUCCGAACGGCCAAGUGAUACUGCUGUGCUAGAGUGCGGAAGAGGCAACCGGAAUUCUUGGUG
rnacentral:rRNA from 1 species